GGAAUCAAUGUGUGAGGUGGUGCUAUGUAGCAGGAACCCCUCUUGCUUUGCAAAUAGUUUUUUGUUUGUUUUCCUUUUUGCCCAAUAGAGCCCUGCUCUACUGACCCUUCAAUGUGCCCGUGUGCCUAAAUAUUCCUGGUCGUGUGAAAAGAACCCAGGUAUUAGCUGAACUAAGGAGCACAAUUCUGCAACAUUUUGGCACCCAAACACGGGGCUUGAGAAAUGAAUGCAAUUGGAGAAACUGGUUGUUUUACCAGGCGUUGAUUGGAAAUGUGUGCUUCCCUUUAAGCAGUCAAGCUCAACUUGCAGAACUGAUGGGAACCCCUUGGGAAAACUGGCCUCAAAUGUUUGUCUACACAGUCCACAUACAGGGUUCUUAACCUGCGUGGACUGGAGCCCAAAAUGCACACUGGAGGAAGUGGAUGGAGCCACGUGGAUGUCAUGCCUUAUGCAGGGGAGGAGCCUGCUCUCUUCAGCUCCUGUGGUAAUGUGGGAAUCGAUCUGUGAGGUGAGGACCUGUUAGCAGGAACCCCUCUUGCUUUGCUGAAAGUUUUAUUUUUCUUUUUGCCCUAUAAAACCCUGUUCUACUAACCCUUCAAUAUGUCUGCAUUCCUAAAUUUUCCUGGUCAUGUGACGAGAACCUAGGUUUUAGCUGAACUAAGGAGCAAAAUUCUGCAACAUAAAGUCAAAGAAAACUAUGCCUAUAUCCAUUAAAUCAAAUGUUAAAAAGCAAAUAUAAAGAAAAAGUCUUCACAGCCCUAGAGAAAAGUGAAACAUUGUACAUAAAGAAGUAAUAAUUUGAAUGGAUUGUCAGAAACCAUGACUAGAAGACAGAGGAGCAAUAUUUUCAAAUUUCAUAGAGAAAGGAAAAAAAGAAAA
rnacentral:lncRNA from 1 species